CCUACGGGAGGCAGCAGUGGGGAAUAUUGCACAAUGGGGGAAACCCUGAUGCAGCGACGCCGCGUGAGGGAAGAAGUCAUUCGUAAUGUAAAGCUCUAUUAGCAGGGAAGAAACAGACGGUACCUGAGUAAGAAGCCCCGGCUAACUACGUGCCAGCAGCCGCGGUAAUACGGAGGGGGCAAGCGGUAUCCGGAUUAACUGGGCGUAAAGGGGGCGUAGACGGGUUAGAAAGUCUGAAGUGAAAUCCCGGGGCUUAACCUCGGAACUGCCUUGGAUACUUUUCUGCUAGAGUGCCGGAGAGGUAGGCGGAAUGCCUGGUGUAGCGGUGAAAUGCGUAGAGAUCAGGCAGAACACCGAUUGCGAAGGCAGCUUACCGGACGGCAACUGACGUUGAGGCACGAAAGCGUGGGGAGCAAACAGGAUUAGAUACCCGUGUAGUC
rnacentral:rRNA from 1 species